GGAGAGAUGCUCGAGUGGUUGAAGAGGCACGCCUGGAAAGCGUGUAUACGCCAAAAGCGUAUCCGGGGUUCGAAUCCCCGUCUCUCCGCAG
rnacentral:tRNA from 1 species